rnacentral:rRNA from 1 species
GACGAACGCUGGCGGCGUGCUUAACACAUGCAAGUCGAACGGAAAGGCCCUGCUUUUGUGGGGUGCUCGAGUGGCGAACGGGUGAGUAACACGUGAGUAACCUGCCCUUGACUUUGGGAUAACUUCAGGAAACUGGGGCUAAUACCGGAUAGGAGCUCCUGCUGCAUGGUGUGGGUUGGAAAGUUUCGGCGGUUGGGGAUGGACUCGCGGCUUAUCAGCUUGUUUGUGGGGUAGUGGCUUACCAAGGCUUUGACGGGUAGCCGGCCUGGGAGGGUGACCGGGCACAUGGGGACUGAGAUAGGGCCCAGACUCGAACGGGAGGCAGCAGUGGGGAAUAUUGCACAAUGGGCGGAAGCCUGAUGCAGCAACGCCGCGUGCGGGAUGACGGCCUUCGGGUUGUAAACCGCUUUCGCCUGUGACGAAGCGUGAGUGACGGUAAUGGGUAAAGAAGCACCGGCUAACUACGUG